GAAAUGCGAUAAGUAAUGUGAAUUGCAGAAUUCCGUGAAUCAUCGAAUCUUUGAACGCACAUUGCUCCCUCUGGCAUUCCGGGGGGCAUGCCUGUCCGAGCGUCAUUACGCACCCUCAAGCCCGGCUUGUGUGAUGGGCCCCGGCGUCUCGUUCGCGAGACGGGCCCGAAAGGCAGCGGCGGCGUCGACCCGAUGAGCCCGAGCGUAUGGGGACUUCUGUCACACGUUCGCGGUGCGGACCGGCGCCUGCUUGACUUUUCUGAUUAUCCAGGUUGACCUCGGAUCAGGUAGGGAUACCCGCUGAACUUAAGC
rnacentral:misc_RNA from 1 species